rnacentral:ncRNA from 2 species
AGAGUAAAACAGUACGUGAAAUUGUUGAAAGGGAAACGGUUGAAGUCAGUCGUGCCGGUGGAAACUCAGCGAUUUUCCUUUGGGGAAGUUGUGAAAUUUUUCGCAUGGCAGGUCAGCAUCAGUUUCUUGAGUGGUAAAAAGGUUCUGGUAAGGUAGCUCUUCUCGGAGAGUGUUAUAGACCGGAGCAAAUGCCCCUUGCGAGACUGAGGAUUGCAGCAGACACCAUUCGUGGAGCGGCCCAUGAUCUCUGUCCGGCUCCCCGUGCUCAACAGCAUGCUGAGUGGGUGUGGGGACGCUUUGAACACCAGGUUGCGGAAGCCAGCGGUUUGCUAAGGAUGUUGACGUAAUGGCUUUAAACGACC